AACGCUAAUACCGCAUAAGACCACACUUCCACAUGGGAGAGGGGUCAAAGGAGCAAUCCGCUGAAAGAUGGGCUCGCGUCCGAUUAGAUAGUUGGGGGGGUAACGGCCCACCAAGUCGACGAUCGGUAGCCGGACUGAGAGGUUGAACGGCCACAUUGGGACUGAGACACGGCCCAGACUCCUACGGGAGGCAGCAGUGAGGGAUAUUGGUCAAUGGGGGAAACCCUGAACCAGCAACGCCGCGUGAGGGAAGACGGUUUUCGGAUUGUAAACCUCUGUCCUCUGUGAAGAUAAGACGGUAGCAGAGGAGGAAGCUCCGGCUAACUACGUGCCAGCAGCCGCGGUAAUACGUAGGGAGCGAGCGUUGUCCGGAUUUACUGGGUGUAAAGGGUGCGUAGGCGGGUAAGCAAGUCAGAAGUGAAAUCCAUGGGCUUAACCCAUGAACUGCUUUUGAAACUGUUUAUCUUGAGUGAAGUAGAGGUAGGCGGAAUUCCCGGUGUAGCGGUGAAAUGCGUAGAGAUCGGGAGGAACACCAGUGGCGAAGGCGGCCUACUGGGCUUUAACUGACGCUGAAGCACGAAAGCGUGGGUAGCAAACAGGAUUAGAUACCCUGGUAGUUCAUGCCGUAAACGA
rnacentral:rRNA from 1 species